UGUGCUAGGUGGGGAGUCAGCGGUGCCCUGAACUUGCAAUCCGCUACAGCAAGGCCGAAUGCUUUUCGAGGCUUAUCACAUGGUUGGCUGCGCACGGUAAGGCGUGUUGAUAUUAAGGUCUUAUGCAACGCAAACCUGCGAACCGUGUCAGGAUAGGGAUAUAGCAGCACUAAACAGUUAUUUGCGUGUGCCAUGAGGUAGCUUUAAAGGAGCGACCUGCCGUGUUUACGCUUCGGUGCGGUAUGUCGACAAAAGAUGCAC
rnacentral:SRP_RNA from 1 species